CAGUGGUGCAUAUAUUACUCCAUGUCGCCAGAUUAUAUUAUGUGAUCAUAGGGUCAAUUAAACACCCAAUGUAUGAACAAAGAUUUCGUAUUAUCUUUAUGUUUUUUAUCUAUUUUGGCGCUAAAAUAUUCAAAAACUUUGGGAAAAUAUUCAUCAAGCGAUAUUUGGAUGUGGCAUUGAGAAGAAGUCAUCAUUUUCUCAAAAUUUUGCAUUCUGAUUUUAGAAAUGUAACAUACGAUACCAUAAUUUUUUUUAUGAAAACGUAUUUGCAGAGCAAAUGUUACCCCUUUUAUGAAAAUCUCGUAGUGUACAGAGAAUGAAAAUAUAAACAUUUCUUUUGCAGAAGUCAUUGGUUGGUCUGAAAUUUGACAAACGUGUCAAGAUGUAACAUUCGUGAUGUAACAUUCGUUACCGAGAAAUUAAUUAAAAGGAAUGAUAUCACAAUUUCCCGCGUAUUUUUGCUCUCUGUCUGCAUGAUGUGGUAUACGACAUGAAUGUCUACUAUGAACAUUUGAGUUUGAAAGUCAAUACGUGUUAAACUUUGAGAAUUAGGAUUAAUUUUCUCUUACGAAAUGGCGCUUGUGAGAGCAGAAGUACAGAAUAACUACCAUGAAAAAAAAAUGCAUUAAAACAUAAGAACAACCAUGAA